GUCACGAAGAGCGAGGAAAACUUGGGAAGGACAAUAAUUUUCCUCCGUGGAAAAUAAUAAUCGCAUCAGAUAAACCGAAACAAUAGUCAUCUGCGAGCGGACGAGAUGGCUAGGAAUGAAAAAACCCUCACCGAAAACGGUCUAAUUUGACACCUUCCUUCCGCUAUCCGCUGCCGUAAAAUCUCC